GGCCCCAAGAGGCAGCCAGUGGUCACCGGGAUGCAUACCGCCCAUUGGACCUUAUCUGGGUACCACGUCUAUGCAACCGACGGGUUGAGCCCAUAGGCAAUGGGGAGGGUUCGAAUCCCUCUGGGGUCC
rnacentral:tRNA from 1 species